rnacentral:rRNA from 1 species
ACGGAAGGUCCGGGCGUUAUCCGGAUUUAUUGGGUUUAAAGGGAGCGUAGGCCGGAGAUUAAGCGUGUUGUGAAAUGUAGAGGCUCAACCUCUGCACUGCAGCGCGAACUGGUCUUCUUGAGUACGCGCAACGUGGGCGGAAUUCGUGGUGUAGCGGUGAAAUGCUUAGAUAUCACGAAGAACUCCGAUUGCGAAGGCAGCUCACGGGAGCGCAACUGACGCUGAAGCUCGAAAGUGCGGGUAUCGAACAG